GACCAACCCAGGUUGUGGCUGAGAGUGGACUCCUGAUGACUCCAAGAAACUGUGAAGCAGCCCUGCCAGUGAGAGCACCCAGCUGAGUGAUCCAGGGAUGUGGAACCAGGGGACAAUUAAUUAACACUGAUACUCAACCCAUGGACCUGAUCCAGCCCCAGAAGCAAUAUCAUCUGGCCUGCAGGGCUCCCUAUGGAUUCAAAAAUUUAGUGCCAGGGCCAUUAGGCUGGAUGGUUUGAGCACCACUGCUCUAGAAGCUUAAAGAUUCUUUUUGUUCUUGUUUAGCAUUUUUUCAAUCAAUUUGUAGGAAUGAAAGUUAGAUUUAUCAAAUCACAAUUUCCUCCACAUAGUUUUCCUUAAAGAUUGCAUUAUUUGCUUUUUCUCCAUUCUUCCCAGUUCCCAAGACCAGUGUGUAUUCAGUAAGUUUAGUUAGAUAAUUCUGAGAUGUGUACCUUGCUAAUCCAUAACAACAACUGCUUAAACAACAACUGCACACCAGAAUGAGUGCGCACUGAAAAAUCUAUCAAAGACAAGAAUACCCAACUAUCUGUGAGGCACACUUCUCACAAAAUAAGCACUCCCUCUCCAAACUGUUUUAAUCCUCAAAGGAAAUUUACAAAACACCUUCAUAGACAAGCCCAUUAACUUCACUUCAUAAAUCUACUGGAUACAAAAAAUUAUGGACUCAAUAUAGACAUUGGAUUCAUGACACAUUACAACCUGCCAGACAUCUGAUUCACCAGAAAAGAUCAGAAUCUUACAAAAAAACUAAGGACUGGAUAAUAUCUGAAAAUGUAUAAAGGAAAAGAAAUAUGGAGGAACGCAUCAUGGCAUAAGGCACAGCCUAAGAUUUAUAUAUAAACAGAGGAUAUCUGCUAGACUCAGGGCAUCUUUUAGUGCAUCUGUCUAAUCUAUAUACCAAGUUUUAAAAACAGAAACAAGCUCUAUUGAUAGUUAUACUAAUGUACAGUACACAUUUUAUGUGGACUUUGAAGAUAUAUUGUACAGUAGACACAAAUGCCACUGCAUAUACAAUAUUUACAGAAUUAUGGAAAAAUUGGACUGGAAGUGACUCUAAAGGUCCAACCCCUUACUCAUAGCAGAAUCGUCCAUUUCCACCAUUUAAGUCAAGUAUUUGUCUAACCUUAUCUUAAAAAGUUACAUCCAUCUCCAACAGUGCUUCUUUUCCAGUGAAGAAAACAGCUUCCCUGCUUAAAAUAAGCACACCAGUUUUGGAGGGCUGAUUACUGGGGCAAAGAUACUGUGCGGG